UACGGGGGGGGCAAGCGUUGUUCGGAAUUACUGGGCGUAAAGGGCUCGUAGGCGGCCAACUAAGUCGGAUGUGAAAUCCCCCGGCUCAACUGGGGAACUGCACGGGAAACAGCAGGGCUUGAGUUCGGGAGAGGGAAGCGGAAUUCCGGGUGUAGCGGUGAAAUGCGUAGAUAUCCGGAGGAACACCGGUGGCGAAGGCGGCUUCCUGGACCGAUACUGACGCUGAGGCGCGAAAGCCAGGGGAGCAAACGGG
rnacentral:rRNA from 1 species